ACAGCCAUAUCUUGUUAAAGAAAAACAGGUUCUUGUACGAUCGCAGAAGUUAAGCAACGUCGAGCCUGGUUACUACCUAGAUGGGUGACUGCGUGGGAAUAUCAGGUGCUGUAAG